AAAGGUUCUCCUCUCCAACAAUAUUACCUUAUUUCUCUAUCCUUUUCAAUCAAAUCACUAAAGCAUAUCUUAACCAUCAUAGAUCGAGUUUGGUGUGGUGUUUUGGCUCGCUCGCUCUCCCUUUGCUCUUCUUUUACGACCAUGGUGAGGUGAGGUGAGGUGAGGUGAAUUGGUUGAGGUGAAGUUAGACAUGUUGCAGAGGCGGGUUUGAUCUUAUUUUUCUUAUUCUCAUGUGAGGAUUCUGUUGAGGACGGCGAGAAGUCGAGGAGAAGGCUAAAUCAGAGUUUUGCGAAGUUGGGUAGUUUCUUGCUCCGUCGUGGUUGUGGUUUCCGAUCGGUGGAUUCCACAACCCAACGCUUUCGUAAGCUAUCGCCGCCGGAGUGACCGAUUGAGAACGAGCUGAGAAUGAAUCACAACGCUGGCUGGAGGGAGGUAGCUUGAAAGAUUGCGGCUAUGGGUGUUAGGAGACGGCUGACGAAUCCGCUUAACUGAGGUUUAUUACUUUGCUUCUGGUUUGUACGUUUUUGUUUUAUUUGAUUUGAACCGUAUAAAUCAUUAACUAAUUCUGGUCUAAUUGAAAUCGAUAUAUAUAUCAGUUUACAACGUGAACGUUAUAUGUUGAAUGGUUGAAUGAUUAGACAUUCCAUGGUGAUGGUUGAAUGAUUAGAC
rnacentral:lncRNA from 1 species